AACGAACGCUGGCGGCAUGCCUAACACAUGCAAGUCGAACGAGACCUUCGGGUCUAGUGGCGCACGGGUGCGUAACGCGUGGGAACCUGCCUUUAGGUUCGGAAUAACUCAGAGAAAUUUGAGCUAAUACCGGAUGAUGUCUUCGGACCAAAGAUUUAUCGCCUUUAGAUGGGCCCGCGUAAGAUUAGCUAGUUGGUGGGUAAAGGCCUACCAAGGCGACGAUCUUUAGCUGGUCUGAGAGGAUGAUCAGCCACACUGGGACUGAGACACGGCCAGACUCCUACGGGAGGCAGCAGUGGGGAAUAUUGGACAAUGGGCGAAAGCCUGAUCCAGCAAAUGCCGCGUGAGUGAUGAAGGCCUUAGGGUUGUAAAGCUCUUUACCCGAGAUAGAUAAUGACAGUAUCGGGAGAA
rnacentral:rRNA from 1 species